UACGAAGGGGCUAGCGUUGUUCGGAAUUACUGGGCGUAAAGCGCGCGCAGGCGGUCUUCCAAGUCAGUGGUGAAAGCCCGGAGCUCAACUCCGGAACUGCCAUUGAAACUGUUGGACUUGAGUAUGAGAGAGGUGAGUGGAAUUCCCAGUGUAGAGGUGAAAUUCGUAGAUAUUGGGAAGAACACCGGUGGCGAAGGCGGCUCACUGGCUCGAUUACUGACGCUCAGGCGCGACAGCGUGGGGAUCAAACAGG
rnacentral:rRNA from 1 species